GGAGCGGUAGUUCAGCCGGUUAGAAUGCCUGCCUGUCACGCAGGAGGUCACGGGUUCGAUUCCCGUCCGUUCCGCCA
rnacentral:tRNA from 1 species